rnacentral:misc_RNA from 1 species
GCAGUCUCAACCCUCCGACACCAUUCAGAUUCAAUACUAAUAACGUCAUCCAAUGCCCAUUCAAUGUUAAAUGUUCCUGUGGCCCCAUUUACAAUUGAACCCUCAACUCUGAUGCAACUUCUCAAGAAAGUUAAGCGGGACUCCGUACAAUACAUGUCCUCAUAUAGGAUAAAAUCAGGGAAUACAACAACGGCAUUAUUUAAAAUAUCAAUCUUAUGUCCAACAGAAGAAGACUCUGGUACUGGAUCUUUCGAUGGAACUUCAGUCUGUUCAAGAGUGGAGAUGGAAAUCGAGGCAGUACUUGUUUCACUUCCAUCAUCAUCAUCUGAAAUCAUAUCCAC